rfam:Tupaia chinensis contig90978, whole genome shotgun sequence.
CUUCAGUGAACAUUCAACGCUGUCGGUGAGUUUGGAAUUAUAAUCAAAACCAUCGACCGUUGAUUGUACCCUAUGG